UACAGAGGGUGCGAGCGUUAAUCGGAAUUACUGGGCGUAAAGCGUGCGUAGACGGCUAUCUAAGUCGGGUGUGAAAGCCCCGGGCUCAACCUGGGAAUGGCAGUGGAUACUGGCGAGCUAGAGUGUGAUAGAGGAUGGUGGAAUUCCCGGUGUAGCGGUGAAAUGCGUAGAGAUCGGGAGGAACAUCAGUGGCGGAAGGCGGCCAUCUGGAUCAACACUGACACUGAGGAGCGAAAGCCAGGGGAGCAAACGGG
rnacentral:rRNA from 1 species